GACGUAGGGGGCGAGCGUUAUUCGGAAUUAUUGGGCGUAAAGCGCUCGUAGGCGGGACUGCAAGUCCGUGUUGAAAGACCUCGGCUCAACUGAGGGACCGGCUCGGAUACUGUGGUUCUUGAGGCAAUCAGAGGGUGAUGGAAUUCCCGGUGUAGCGGUGAAAUGCGUAGAUAUCGGGAAGAACACCCGUGGCGAAGGCGGCUCUCUGGGACGGUACUGACGCUGAGACGCGAAAGCGUGGGGAGCGAACAGG
rnacentral:rRNA from 1 species